UUAUAAUUUUCAUGCGGAUUAUUUACAACUACACUAGGGACUCAUAAGUAAUUUAAGGACAACGGAUCACUCGCCCAUUCUUUUCCCAACAACGCCGGCCGGCACAACCCCCGCCCCCAAGAAUCUCCGAUGGCACUCAAAUUCGCCGCCCCCCUCCCCCUCUUCCCGCCAAAUCCGGCGGUCCCUUCUCGCCGCCCCGCCCCCUCCACCGAGGUACGCUUCUCCCGCUGGAACAACGCCAACGCCGAGCCUUUUCUCCGCCGCCGCCGCGCCCAGCAAGAGAUCGAGGACGACCUCCGCCGCCUCCGCCGCUACCGCUCCGCCCUCAAGAUCGCCGAGGAUGCGACCGCCGCCGACCCGUCUUCUUCCGCCGCCGCUGACGCCCUGCCCCCCUCCCCCGUCGGUUUCCGGUCCCACGGUACCCCUUCCUCCCCCUCCUCCCCGUCCAUCCCGGGCAAAGCCUCCAAAUACUCCAAGCCCCCCCUAAACCCUAUAAGCCCUAGCUCUCCUUCGUCCCACCCCGCCUUCCGCCGGAUCGCUAGGGUUUCCCGGCCGGCUCCGGUUCCGCCGGACAGGGAGACUGCGAUUUCGGUCGGGGAGAAGGGACUUGCGUAUAGGAUCGAGGGGGCGCCCUUUGAGUUCCAGUAUAGUUACACGGAGACGCCAAAGGUGAAACCUUUGGCACUAAGGGAGCCUCCAUUUCUGCCAUUCGGGCCGAGCACGAUGCCCAGGCCGUGGACGGGGCGGGCACCGCUUCCGCCGAGCAAGAAGAAGCUGCCGGAGUUCGACUCGUUCAAGCUCCCGCCGCCAGAGAAGAAGGGUGUAAAGCCGGUGCAGUCGCCAGGGCCUUUCCUGGCUGGGUCGGGGCCCACUUACCAUGCGGUGUCGAGGGAGGAGAUUUUGGGAGAGCCGCUGGCUGAGGAGGAGAUCAAGGAAUUGGUCAAGGGCUGCAUGAAGACCAAGAGACAAUUGAACAUCGGUAGAGAUGGUCUAACACACAAUAUGCUGGAAAAUAUUCAUGCUCAUUGGAAAAGGAGGAGGGUAUGCAAGAUAAAAUGUAAAGGUGUGUGCACAGUCGAUAUGGAUAAUGUCUGUCAGCAAUUAGAGGAGAAAACUGGAGGGAAGAUUAUAUACAGUAAGGGAGGAGUGAUCUUCCUGUUCCGUGGUCGAAACUACAACUGGAGGACCCGCCCUAGAUUUCCUCUUAUGCUGUGGAGGCCCGUAACACCGGUGUAUCCACGAUUGAUUAAGCGGGUACCAGAGGGACUAACUUUGGAAGAAGCAACUGAGAUGCGUAAAAGAGGGCGCAAACUACCACCAAUAUGCAGACUUGCAAAAAAUGGUUUGUAUGGUAACCUUGUUAAAGACGUCAGAGAAGCAUUUGAAGCUUGUGAGUUGGUCCGAGUAAACUGCACGGGUCUGAACAAAAGUGAUUGCAGGAAAAUAGGUGCCAAGCUCAAGGAUCUAGUUCCGUGCAUCCUACUUUCAUUUGAGGGUGAGCAUAUACUUAUGUGGAGAGGGAAGGAUUGGAAAUCAUCUCUUCCGCAAGUAGAAGACAGUCAUACUGAAGCUGAAGUAAUUGCCAGUGAUCCAACAAACACUUCAUCCAGCAUCAAUGAUCCAUUAUUGAAUGGCCAGGACAUCCUCAUUUCAGGUACUGGAAGGAGCUUAAAUAAGGAACUCAGUGUUGAAGUGCCUACUGAAGCGACUCUAGAUGACAAUAUGGGUAUAAACCAAACUGAGGAUCUUGUGAAUUUAAAAAUUUUAAGUGUCCCAGUGCCGGCUCAUGUAGAUCCAACCAAGAAGACUGGCAAGGCACUUGAUUUCUCAACUGAGACUCACCAGGAAUUUUCAAUUAUAAGUGACCAAGAAGCACCUGCUGCAGGUGCUGGAAACAGCUCAGUGGGCUCAUGUCUUGAAUUACCUUGUCAAAGCAUUUCUCUAGGCACAAGUUUGAACACAAUGGAAAAAGGUAAGGACCUUUAUCUUCCAGGAAGAGAAGCUGCUCCGCCAUUGGCAGCUUCUUAUGAAUGUUGCAACAGGCAUGACGACAUUGGUCCAGCCACCAGACUCGAUGAUGGAAUUCUAGACUGCAAUAAGUAUGAAAGGAGAGAAGCAGAUAGUCCAAUAUGCCAAGAUAAUACGGGUUCUAGUAGGGCAUGUUUGGAAGGAGUUAUGCUACUUCUGAGGCAGGCUGUUGAGAGUGGCAGGGCAAUCAUCUUGGAUGAUCAUUCUUUGGAUGCUAACAUUGUUUUUGAAAGGUCUGUUGCUCUUGCCAAUACAGCCCUGCCUGGACCAGUCUUCCAGCAUAGAGUCAGGAAAUUUACUGUUCAGAGGACUCAGAAAGACAAGGGUGACAAGAUCGAGGAGCAAGAUACAGAAGUUGAAGCUGUGCCAGUUUCAGAAAAGAGAUGCAGUAAGAGAGACAAUUCUCGGAGUUGGAGAAGGGAUGAUUUCCCAGGGGUUUUGUCAGAUGUGGUCCCACAUGGAAGCUUGAGAGUAGAUGAACUUGCAAAGUUGCUGGCUUAGUUAUGAAGUUAAAAAAUUGUGGAAUGAAUUAAAGUGUUUCAUUCAUCUUUCUGUCUGGUUAUUAUCUUCAGGAGCAUGCUACAUACUGGUUAUAUAACAAAGAUAUGAAAGGAUCUGUUGAGGACUGGUUUUAUGAGCCCAUUAUCUGGAGCUAGUAAUCAGAUGACAGUAGAAACAUGUUAUGAAAGGUCAAAAGCCUGUGAAAUUAUUAUCGUGAAGGGCAGAACAGAAAUUCAGAUGGUAUGAUGGAAUGCAUCAGAACAAUUAAGACUUUUAUGGCAUUGACUUCUAAUAGAGUUUUCAGUGAACAAAAUACAUCAACCACACAUCGCAGAGAGAACGGUGCAAUAAUAACAAUAUUUUUCUUCUUCAUUUUUACUGUCACUCUUUGCAAGGAGGCCUUCCAUUCAAGUGUUCCUACAGAAGACUAUCCUAUACUUAAUCAACUAAAAAUUAAAAAAAGACUUUGUUUAACAUUUAUUGGUGAAAAAAACUUGCACAGACUAGAGAGAAUGGUUGAGGAAGGGGAGGAAUAGAGUUCCUUAUGAUGUAUAUUGAUGUUUUAUAACAACUUCCCUGUCUAUAUCAGGUCCAUCUACAAUCUUGUUCCAAUACCAGUGCUGCUCCCACAGUUGAGACAUCUCAAUUGGCAGUUACUAUGUCUCUGAUAGAAGGAAGAUGAUAAAAAAGGUCAUAAUGAUGAUAGGCAGGCAAAAGGGAUGAAGACUCCAUACCUGAGGUGGCACGAUGGAACAAGGAAACAUUGUGCUACUGCAGUGGUGAAGAGGAGGUUGACACAAACUACCAGGCUUUGCCCUGCUGAUCUCAUCUCAAGCAGGAAGAUCUCACUCCGAACUAAACAGGAAAGAGGCCCCCAUAACCAGCCGUAUGCCACUAGAAGUGCGCAUGUUGCAAUCGCUAGAAAGACUUCUAGGUUUCUGGGAAGCACCACCCCAUUAACAAAUAUCAGUGCAAGAAUGACAGCGACAAUCACCUGUGGACAUAAUGAUAUACUUGGCAUAAAUAAAACAGCCGUUAUAAGAUUUAGCAAGCGAGAUACAUACAUAUCAGUUAACCAUCCUCUUGGUAGAAAUUUCAGUAGUAGAUCUAUGAAGCAAAUGCAUAUGAAUUUCCAUGUGAAGGUGAACAAAUUUCAAGAUCAACUGACAUUUCUAUAUUUUCUAUGUCUUCUAGUUUAGAAAAACAAUUUUGUAGGACUGGCAAGCAAAACAAA